GUUGUAUGGUUAAGUGACUAAGCGUACACGGUGGAUGCCUUGGCAGUUGGAGGCGAUGAAGGACGUACUAACUUGCGAUAAGCCUAGUCAAGCCAGUAAGAGGCGCUUGAGACUAGGAUUUCCGAAUGGGGAAACCCACCUGCUUUGCAGGUAUCGUUAACUGAAUACAUAGGUUAACGAGGCGAACGCGGAGAACUGAAACAUCUAAGUACCCGUAGGAAAAGAAAUCAACCGAGAUUCCGAAAGUAGCGGCGAGCGAAAUCGGAGCAGCCCUUAAGCUUUAAUGUAGUUAGUGGAAUAUGCUGGAAAGCAUGACGAAACAGGGUGAUAGUCCCGUACACGACAACUUAUUUAAAGUGAAAUCGAGUAGGUCGGAGCACGUGAAACUUUGACUGAAUAUGGGGGGACCAUCCUCCAAGGCUAAAUACUCCCAACUGACCGAUAGUGAACCAGUACCGUGAGGGAAAGGCGAAAAGAACCCCUGUGAGGGGAGUGAAAUAGAACCUGAAACCGUGUACGUACAAGCAGUAGGAGCCUACUUUUUGGGUGACUGCGUACCUUUUGUAUAAUGGGUCAGCGACUUAUAUUCUGUAGCGAGGUUAACCAUUUAGGGGAGCCGUAGCGAAAGCGAGUCUUAACUGGGCGCUUAAGUUGCAGGGUAUAGACCCGAAACCCGGUGAUCUAGCCAUGGGCAGGUUGAAGGUUGAGUAACAUCAACUGGAGGACCGAACCCACUAACGUUGAAAAGUUAGGGGAUGACCUGUGGCUAGGAGUGAAAGGCUAAUCAAACCGGGAGAUAGCUGGUUCUCCCCGAAAUCUAUUUAGGUAGAGCCUCGGACGAAUACUUACGGGGUAGAGCACUGUUAAGGCUAGGGGUCAUCCCGACUUACCAACCCUUUGCAAACUCCGAAUACCGUAAAGUAAUAUCCGGGAGACACACGGCGGGUGCUAACGUCCGUCGUGGAGAGGGAAACAACCCAGACCGUCAGCUAAGGUCCCAAAGUGUAUGUUAAGUGGGAAACGAUGUGGGAAGGCUAAAACAGCUAGGAGGUUGGCUUAGAAGCAGCCACCCUUUAAAGAAAGCGUAAUAGCUCACUAGUCGAGUCGGCCUGCGCGGAAGAUGUAACGGGGCUAAACAUACCACCGAAGCUACGGCUGCGAACUUAGUUCGCGGGGUAGGGGAGCGUUCUGUAAGUGGCUGAAGGUGUGCCGGGAGGCAUGCUGGACAUAUCAGAAGUGCGAAUGCUGACAUGAGUAACGACAAGAGGAGUGAAAAACUCCUCCGCCGGAAGACCAAGGGUUCCUAUCCCAUGUUAAUCAGGGUAGGGUGAGUCGACCCCUAAGGCGAGGCUGAAGAGCGUAGUCGAUGGGAAACGGGUUAAUAUUCCCGUACUCGGUAUGAAUGCGAUGGGGGGACGGAGCAGGCUAGGCAAGCAUGGCGUUGGUUGUCCAUGUGAAAGGCUGUAGGCUGGCGACUUAGGAAAAUCCGGGUUGCUAAGGCUGAGAGUCGAGACGAGCCACUAAGGUGGUGAAGUUGUUGAUGCCCUACUUCCAGGAAAAGCCUCUAAGCUUCAGUUCAUACUGAAUCGUACCCUAAACCGACACAGGUGGUCAGGUAGAGAAUACUAAGGCGCUUGAGAGAACUCGGGUGAAGGAACUAGGCAAAAUUGUACCGUAACUUCGGGAGAAGGUACGCUCUUGUUUGUGAAAGACUUGCUCUGUAAGCAAACGAGAGCCGCAGUGACCAGGUGGCUGGGACUGUUUAUUAAAAACACAGCACUGUGCAAAAUCGUAAGAUGACGUAUACGGUGUGACACCUGCCCGGUGCCGGAAGGUUAAUUGAUGGGGUUAGCUUAGGCGAAGCUCUUGAUCGAAGCCCCGGUAAACGGCGGCCGUAACUAUAACGGUCCUAAGGUAGCGAAAUUCCUUGUCGGGUAAGUUCCGACCUGCACGAAUGGUGUAACCAUGGCCACGCUGUCUCCACCCGAGACUCAGUGAAAUUGAAAUCGCAGUGAAGAUGCUGUGUACCCGCGGCUAGACGGAAAGACCCCGUGAACCUUUACUACAGCUUGGCACUGAACAUUGACCCUACAUGUGUAGGAUAGGUGGGAGGCUUUGAAGCGCGCACGCUAGUGCACGUGGAGCCGACCUUGAAAUACCACCCUUGUAGUGUUGAUGUUCUAACUUAGGCCCCUGAAUCGGGGUUGAGGACAGUGCCUGGUGGGUAGUUUGACUGGGGCGGUCUCCUCCCAAAGAGUAACGGAGGAGCACGAAGGUUUGCUAAGUACGGUCGGACAUCGUACGGUUAGUGUAAUGGUAGAAGCAAGCUUAACUGCGAGACAGACACGUCGAGCAGGUACGAAAGUAGGUCAUAGUGAUCCGGUGGUUCUGAAUGGAAGGGCCAUCGCUCAACGGAUAAAAGGUACUCCGGGGAUAACAGGCUGAUACCGCCCAAGAGUUCAUAUCGACGGCGGUGUUUGGCACCUCGAUGUCGGCUCAUCACAUCCUGGGGCUGAAGUCGGUCCCAAGGGUAUGGCUGUUCGCCAUUUAAAGUGGUACGCGAGCUGGGUUUAGAACGUCGUGAGACAGUUCGGUCCCUAUCUGCCGUGGGCGUUUGAGAAUUGAGAGGGGCUGCUCCUAGUACGAGAGGACCGGAGUGGACGAACCGCUGGUGUUCGGGUUGUGAUGCCAAUUGCAUUGCCCGGUAGCUACGUUCGGAAUCGAUAACCGCUGAAAGCAUCUAAGCGGGAAGCGAGCCUCGAGAUGAGUUCUCACUUUGACUUAGAGUCAACUGAAGGGCCGUUGAAGACUACAACGUUGAUAGGCGAGAUGUGGAAGUGCUGUGAGGCAUUAAGCUAACUCGUACUAAUUACCCGUGAGGCUUAACCAUACAACGCCAAAGUGGUUU
rnacentral:rRNA from 1 species